UGGAGUUGAACUUGCUCAGCAUGCUUGAAAAUUGAGAAGUCUUCUUUGUUUCUGUUAUGAUAUUACUUGCCACUGAAAAUGAAUAUAUAGAAGAAUGCGGCAACAAGCAAGGCAAAGCAGCUGACCUAGAUGUGUGUGGCUUUUUUCCUCUCCAGGCUAUCCUCUGUUGGGAAGAAUGUAAUCUGGGCCUCACAGCAGUCAGGUGGCAGCCAUCCUGUAGUAAGCAGUUGGAAUUGGACUACCUUCUAUGGUCUAGCAUGCUCCUGUUCCUGAGAUACCUAGUUGACUCAAUCUGGAAAGUGGCUGCAUUUGUGAGUACUCCAGGAGAAUUUUCUGUGUCUGGAAAUAUUUAUUGUACUGUCUAACAUUCUACCUGCUCCAAAAGUGUUUUGAAAGGAAAAGAUCUUAAAUCUGAAGAAACCUGCCCUUUAUAAUGAUUGAGUGACGCCUCCGAGAGCAGAUUGCAGCUCCCUGACUGAUUAAAAAUCUGUCCCAGCAAAAAUUAGAAUGUCAAGGGAUCACUCUAACUUCAGCCAUUGGCAUAACUGACUGUUUGAAGUGGAAGAUCCAGAUCUAGUAGAACUCCACUAUACCAUUAUGAAGAACACUGCUACAUUUCCUCUCUUUAUAUGCUACACAUGAGGGUAGCAGGCAUACAAGUUGCAGACAGUCUUCUUCCACUUUUCCACCAGUGAAGAAUUUGCCUACCAGCUAUUUCUUGCCACUUUAUAAGGCACAAAAGUGGCCUUAGUGGACCAGUGAUUCUUGGUGUUAGUUUAAAAAAUCAUUCUGAGAUUGAGGAAUAAUUGUGAGUUCUCCACAAAAUUUCCAAUAUUAUACUAUGUGUUGCAAUUUAUUGCUGGUGGUCAGUUCUAAUGUACUAAUAUUUUAUAUAUGUAUAAGAGAAC